rnacentral:rRNA from 1 species
GACGGAGGAUGCAAGCGUUAUCCGGAAUUAUUGGGCGUAAAGCGUCCGCAGGUGGCAGUUCAAGUCUGCUGUCAAAGACCGGGGCUUAACUUCGGAAAGGCAGUGGAAACUGAACAGCUAGAGUAUGGUAGGGGCAGAGGGAAUUCCUGGUGUAGCGGUGAAAUGCGUAGAGAUCAGGAAGAACAUCGGUGGCGAAGGCGCUCUGCUGGACCGUAACUGACACUCAGGGACGAAAGCUAGGGGAGCGAAUGGG